rnacentral:rRNA from 1 species
UACGGAGGGUGCUAGCGUUAUCCGGAUUUACUGGGUUUAAAGGGUGUGUAGGCGGACUUUUAAGUCCGUGGUGAAAUCUCCGGGCUCAACCCGGAAACUGCCAUGGAUACUAUUGGUCUUGAAUGUUGUUGAGGUGGGCGGAACGGGUCAUGUAGCGGUGAAAUGCAUAGAUAUGACCCGGAACACCGAUUGCGAAGGCAGCCCACUAAGCAAUGAUUGACGCUGAGGCACGAAAGCGUGGGGAUCAAACAGG